UUCCUCAAGCUCUUCAUCUUCAAUUAUAGCAAAGGGAAAUAAGCUUAAAACUUCUAGUUCCAAGUCCUCGAUGCUGGUCUCCUCAACUUCAAGUUGCUCCUUCUUCCCUUUCUACUAAUAGAUGCUUGGAUUGGAUGCUCUUGUAUUUGGCUAUAAAUUCGGAUGGAACUUGAGUUAUAGUUGAAAAAAACCUUCUUAUCAUACCCAUAUGCACCUCUUCUCCGGUAGUCAAUUCCUUUGAUGCCUAUUGAAAUUGAUUUGUUCAAAGUCGUCCUCAUCGUUUUCGUCGUGGACAUACUACUGACGUAUUGGAAUUGGUCAAUACACACUUCUUCAUGUAUAUCUUUCGUUACGUGGUUUCUAUGGAACUUGUUUGGUUUAUGAUCUUUCUCCUCCUUAUAGACAUAUUGCCUGCCUGUAGGAAAAAGUUUUGUUGAUAGGUUGACCACGAGCUACAUUUACCCUUGGCCUUUUAUUAUCAUACUGAUUCUUGAUUGUUUUGGCCUUUUAUUAUCAUAUUGAUUCCUGAUUGUUUUAGUUCUCAAAGCACCAAGAUGGUUUGUAAUUUCUUCGAAACAUCACUCGAUACACUCAAAUCUAAGAUCCAUAUGUUGCUCCAAAUGUCCAAUUGUCGCAACUUUUGUCUCUAUAGUUAAGGGACUGUCAUGAGAAUCACUAUAAUUGCCACCACCAUCAAGAUAAGCCAUCUCAAUUUGAGCAAUUUUCCCACUCUAAUUCCACUUGACGCAGUGUGGAACACACUCUAGACAGUGAAAUUGAAAGAAAAUUCUUUGCAGGAUGUAAAAGAACUCCUCUUUGAUGUAGAAGACCUCUCAUUUAUUCUUAUUUUGGCCCUUUUUUUGAACCCUAGCUGUCCCUUUUUCAGAAAAGAAAGGCUAUUGAAUUUUUGACAUCACCUUAGCAAGGGUAUGGUGCAAUGCUUGGUGCCAUAGGGAGGGUGCAAUCUUCUCUGUAAUUUUAUUUCUUCAAAAUUUGACCACACCAUGCAUGUGGUAUGUUGUUGGGACCAUGAUCAAGUUGUGGUUUCUUCUAUGAGAGCCUGCAAGGCUUCUAACUUCAACCAUGGCUUGCCUGUGGUUUGCUAGACCCAGCCAUGGACUCCUUUGUCCAAACUUGAAGUGCACCAUUCUUCUACCGCAACCCGCUUGUGGUAAACCUUUUGUCACCAUACCAGGGCGUGGAUUUCUUUGUGAAGUCUAGGUCUCUUUUUCGUUGUUUCAUGAGAGUCCAACCAUGACUUGGGUGUGGUGUUCACUGCCAAGAGUUACUUUCAUUGGUUAGAGGCCAUUAUUCACGUUCAUGGACCAAAAAUUCUAUUUAGACAUAAUCUUGUCAAAAUGAAUGAGUAAAUCAUCACAGUUAACUUGAACUUAAAUAAACUAAAUAAAAGCAUAAAGCUAAUUAAAUCCUAAACAAAUUAAUAGCAAAACAUAUGCAAAAUACGCUAUAAUUGUAUGCAUUUUUCACGCAUAACAAUAUUCCAACUUCCUAACUAGUGUUCCUAUCACAUUUUCUCCCAAAAUAUCACCCAAAUUUCUCCUCCUGUCUAUGGUAAUCUCUCUCUUCUUUUUUAAGCUAAAGUGAUGAUAAAUAUUUCUAUUCUCCACAACAACUUGCAAAAAGGUGAGUAUUAUUUGUUGUUUUUGCUUUUUU
rnacentral:misc_RNA from 1 species